rnacentral:piRNA from 1 species
UGCCAAGAUAGGUAACAGAUGAGGAA